AAGUCGUAACAAGGUUUCCGUAGGUGAACCUGCGGAAGGAUCAUUAACACUCCAAAACUUCUCAUAGCUCUGGGAAACCAGAGUUUAUGAAACCCUAUUCACCAUUAGCGAACCCGGCUAGGUGAGAAAAGUUUGAGGCUUCGCGGCUUCUAUUUCUCAUCUUUAGCUAUUUUCUUUUGUCCAUUUUUUUUCAAUUUUUAACCCCAAUCAUCAUAACUUUUAUUUGUCUGAUUGGAAGACGUAACACCUCUUCCGUUGCUCUUCGCUCUAACCAGCGAAGGCAAUGAAAACUACCAAAAACUACCAAAAACUAAAAAAAAACUAAAAAACAACUCUUAGCAACGGAUAUCUUGGUUCUC
rnacentral:misc_RNA from 1 species